rnacentral:rRNA from 1 species
AGUACGGCGGAACACGAGAAAUUCCGUCGGAAUCCGCGGGGACCAUCCCGCAAGGCUAAAUACUCCCUAGUGACCGAUAGUGAACCAGUACCGUGAGGGAAAGGUGAAAAGCACCCCGGAAGGGGAGUGAAAUAGAUCCUGAAACCGUGUGCCUACAACAAGUCAAAGCUCGUUAAUGAGUGAUGGCGUGCCUUUUGUAGAAUGAACCGGCGAGUUACGAUUGCAUGCGAGGUUAAGUCGAAGAGACGGAGCCGCAGCGAAAGCGAGUCUGAAUAGGGCGAAUGAGUAUGUAGUCGUAGACCCGAAACCAUGUGAUCUACCCAUGUCCAGGUUGAAGGUGCGGUAAAACGCACUGGAGGACCGAACCCACGUACGUUGAAAAGUGCGGGGAUGAGGUGUGGGUAGCGGAGAAAUUCCAAACGAACUUGGAGAUAGCUGGUUCUCUCCGAAAUAGCUUUAGGGCUAGCCUCGGAAUUGAGAAUGAUGGAGGUAGAGCACUGUUUGGACUAGGGGCCCAUCUCGGGUUACCGAAUUCAGAUAAACUCCGAAUGCCAUUCAUUUAUAUCCGGGAGUCAGACUGCGAGUGAUAAGAUCCGUAGUCGAAAGGGAAACAGCCCAGACCACCAGCUAAGGUCCCAAAAUAUAUGUUAAGUGGAAAAGGAUGUGGGGUUGCACAGACAACUAGGAUGUUGGCUUAGAAGCAGCCACCAUUUAAAGAGUGCGUAAUAGCUCACUAGUCGAGUGACCCUGCGCCGAAAAUGUACCGGGGCUAAACAUAUUACCGAAGCUGUGGACUACACCAUUAGGUGUAGUGGUAGGAGAGCGUUCUAAGGGCGUUGAAGGUCGAUCGUGAGGACGGCUGGAGCGCUUAGAAGUGAGAAUGCCGGUAUGAGUAGCGAAAGACAGGUGAGAAUCCUGUCCACCGUAUGACUAAGGUUUCCUGGGGAAGGCUCGUCCGCCCAGGGUUAGUCGGGACCUAAGCCGAGGCCGAUAGGCGUAGGCGAUGGACAACAGGUUGAUAUUCC